AGCGAACGUUAGCGGCGCGCUUAACACAUGCAAGUCGCACGAGAAAGGGCUUCGGCCCCGGUAAAGUGGCGCACGGGUGAGUAACACGUGGGUAAUCUGCCCUCGAGCGGGGGAUAACAUCUCGAAAGGGAUGCUAAUACCGCAUAAGACCACAGCCUCGAAAGAGGCAGCGGUCAAAGCAGGCCUCUGUAUACAAGCUUGCACUUGAGGAUGAGCCCGCGGCCCAUCAGCUAGUUGGCAGGGUAACGGCCUACCAAGGCGACGACGGGUAGCUGGUCUGAGAGGAUGAUCAGCCACACUGGAACUGAGACACGGUCCAGACUCCUACGGGAGCAGCAGUGGGGAAUCUUGCGCAAUGGGCGAAAGCCUGACGCAGCCACGCCGCGUGAGCGAUGAAGGCCUCGGUCGUAAGCUCUGUGGGAGAGAAGGAGUAAAGACCUGUGAAGAGACAGGCCGUUGACGGUAGUCUCCUUACG
rnacentral:rRNA from 1 species